rnacentral:rRNA from 1 species
UACAGAGGUCUCAAGCGUUGUUCGGAUUCAUUGGGCGUCAAGGGUGCGUAGGCGGCGCGGUAAGUCGGAUGUGAAAUCUCGGAGCUUAACUCCGAAACUGCAUUCGAUACUGCCGUGCUUGAGGACUGGAGAGGAGACUGGAAUUUACGGUGUAGCGGUGAAAUGCGUAGAUAUCGUAAGGAAGACCAGUGGCGAAGGCGGGUCUCUGGACAGUUCCUGACGCUGAGGCACGAAGGUCAGGGGAGCAAACGGG